CUCAUGUCCCCAGGGAGUAGGCUGGUGUAUUCUUGUUCUUUCAAACACCUGAAGAAGUCUUUGCUUGCUUUAGACUAACUGUUGCAGUUCUUACCCUAUAUCGCGAAGAACGGAGCUUGGUCUUAAAAAUUGCAGGCAGCUGAGCCCUAAAGAAGUGACUGUCUCAGAUUUGGAGAGCUGCUACAUGUGGAACCUGUGUGGAGGUGCAGAAGCUGUCUCUCACCAAAGCUCAUCAUCUUUUUCCUGAUGCGUGCCUGCAGAGCCUGCUGAGUACCUUCCUCCUUGUCGAUGAUGCCCAGUGUGCUGGCAUCCCGGAUGAACAGAUGCCCAUUGCUGAAAACGCCGAAGGUGCCAGCGUCCACGUGGGUGAAGUAGAAGAAGUAGUUGAGGUCGUUGGUGCCCAUGGAGCGGAGGACAGCGAGGAGCUGCAGGGCCAGAUCAGCGGCCACCUCGGGGGCAGCAUCAAAGAAGUCACGCAGGGGCCGGGUGCUGGCGCUGACCACCAGCCGCCCACAGGCGCCCAGGUACCGUGGGAAUGGCCACCCCUCCACAUCAGGGAAGAUCUGCCGGGGAGAGCGGGAGUGGGGUGUGGGCUGUCAAAUCCAGAAAUCCCCAUUCCUAAAUAUUUUCCCCAUGUGUGGCUACGUAGAGGAGCACUCGUUGGGUAGGCAUGGCUGGCACCGCUGCCUGGUCACAGGCGGGAGUGGGCAACAGAUUUGCCAGGUAUCUUUGGCCAUCCUUCUCAUGCCCAUUAGCCCACUGCCCUCUCAGAUGGCUUCAAGCAUGUGAGAACCCCGACCUACUGCAAACAGUGGCUCUCGUGUCUUGUUCUGCCUUUUAAAGACAGCCCACCACCGUAUGGGUUCAGUUUCUCAUCCCCAGUUAGCCCCAGAAGCCUGGGAAGGCAAAAGUCAGUUUUGAGGUAGCUACUUUUCUUUUUUCUUUUUAAUUAAAGAAGAAGAAUCUGAUAUUUCAAGAUCUGUUCUAUGAGGGAAGGGAGACUAACUGGAAAGUCCAAGACAAUAAUAGACUUUAAAUUCAUGAAAUUUUAAGGCACAGAAGAGCUAAUUUUAGGCUUCUUUAUGGAGUCUUUGAUGGCUCCCUCAUGAGCACUGCAUAACUAAUGUCACGGCUUGAAGGUGAGGUGGUGCUAAACCACUUUUAGCUAAUUCAUAACAACCGUCUGGCUCAUUUUAGAAGAGGCUUUGCAGUCUCAGGUUCAGAAGUCCUGGAUGUUUGCUACAGCAGGGACAUUUGGGCUGGGCUCACUACAUCACUUCACACCGUGCCAGCAGUGCAGUUAUCCCAGGCCUUUAUAUUUCACUGCUUAGCGUGGAAAUCACAUAGUCAUUGCGCCUUGCCAACAUAAAGCUUUCUGCCAUUUAUAUUUUAGCUUGUCUAUCUCACUGGGGCAGAGGGGAAGUUAGGGACUCUUCCAGUUGCAUAUUUAAGGUUGCCUCUCCCUUUUCCUCUAAAGGUAUUUCAGGCAACCACAAACAUUUUUAAGUCUCUUGGGCAUACUUUGCUCACCUCUAUGAGCUGCAUUCCCCAAUCUUUACAGGGUUGAGAGCCAGCCUCAUGCCCUGGUUAGCCGAGGUAGGGGUGGCUGGGGGACUCCUGGGAGGUUCCCGGGAUGUGAGGUAGUGGCUGGGCGUCGUUUCUCCCCUGCCAGUGGAGAGGUGGGGUGGUGCUGGGGAAAGGUGAGGAUAUUCCUGCUGAGAUGCUCUUAAGAAGAGAGGGGGACUGCGACACAUCAGUGGUGCCAGAAGGGAACUGGGGAGGGACAUGGGGCCUCCUGACUCUUAGCCUUCAAACUGAGAACUUUGUUUUAUCCGGAAUUCAACCAAACGCCUCUGCAAAGCUGCCCUUUGCCAUGGAGCUGGUUUCCAGUUGCAUGCACACAGAAAAAUGAAAUAAAAUAGCUGUGGAGCAUUAAGCUGGGAAACUGGCCUUCUCCUAGGCCAUGUGUUGCCUGAACAUUGCUUGUUGGUGCACCCACGUUAAAAUGUGCUCUCUCGCACUUUGGAUUUUAUAAACAGGCUGUGAUUUUAAGCAAUACAUUAGCAAUGCAAACAGAGCGCUGUGCAGUAUUGGGGAGGUAUAAAACCCUGGCUUUUACAGUACAUUGUUGUAAUAAUAAUCCAUCCAAGUUCUCAUUUGCUCAAGGGGUUGGGCAUCCAUAUCUCCCAGCAACUUCACAGGCUAUUGCGAGGCACCGAGCAGACCUUGCUAAAGGACAGGGCCUGGGAUUCCUCUGCAGCUGGGCACUGUCUUAUCCAAGGAUUCGCCAGAGAGGGGUUGCUGCGGGAGGUUUCAGCUGAGGGUGCGGCAGCGCAUACCUGUAACAAGAUGGGGUGCGAAUUCACCGACAGCGUGUACAGGAGGCGCAGUUUGUCCCGGUCGGUGAGGUGGUCCAUGUAGAUGCUACCGGCAUCUGGCACUUCAGCGUAGCGCCGCACUAUCCUGUCCAAGAGCCGCUGAGAUGGGCAGCGCAGCAUUGGGCUGGAGAGACCCUAGCAAAAGGGGAAAAGGGAACAAAGAUAUUUGCUUUCCUGUCUGAGAUACCACAAUAUGCUCAACCUGCGCCAUAGAUAGGGGCAAGGUUGUGCUCUGCCCACUGUGCUUGAUAGCCCAGCCCAACAUUUUUGGUCCAGGUAGCUCCUCUGCCCAUCGGCACCCAUCUGCUGAUGAUGGGUAUGAGCACAUGUGGGGUUUUCUACAGCAAACUCUUCUUAGGAAAAAAAAAUGGAUGACUUAACUGCAGCAAACCCUGGUGUCACCUAACACACAUGUUCACAAUGAAGGCUUUCAAAAUGGCAGCCGCUCUUUGUGGCACAACCAUGGACUCUGCAAACCUCAUUUCCCUUUGACUGAAUGCCAUUGUAUUACUCGGUGCUGGUGGGCCUCCUCCCGCCCCGCUGUUUUCCAGUCUUGGCAGCCUUAUUCACUUGUGGAGGCCUCUCCCUUCAUUAAGUCAGUGAGUCACUUCCUUCUUUAAAUAAUAUCUUCAAAUUGCUUUCCUAUUUGCUUAGCCUGUAAGCAGCUUUCUUGGGAAUACUAUUUGGUAAGGUCAGUAAACAUGUUUUAAAACCCUGUAAAUAAACAUUGUAUGUGGGUACAUGCACAGGAAAUAUUAUCUUUCUGAUAAACUUACACAUUAACUAUCAAAAACAAAUGUUAAUAUCCUGUGUAUAUUUUCUUGCAAACACAAGCAACAAAUAAAGAAUUGUUGAGUUAAUGGAUUCAA